ACUCAAAUGAAUUGACGGGGACCCGCACAAGCGGUGGAGCAUGUUGCUUAAUUCGACGCAACGCGAAGAACCUUACCGGGGCUUGACGUGUACUGGAAGUGCUCAGAGAUGAGUUACGCUCUUCGGAGCUGGUACAUUAGGUGCUGCACGGCUGUCGUCAGCUCGUGCCGUGAGGUGUUGGGUUAAGUCCUCUAACGAGCGCAACCCCUUUCCACAGUUGCCAACAGGUAAAGCUGGGAACUCUGUGGACACUGCCGGUGACAAACCGGAGGAAGGUGGGGAUGACGUCAAGUCAUCGUGGCCCUUACGUCCCGGGCUGCAAACGUGCUACAAUGGCUGGUACAAAGGGAAGCGAGCCCGCGAGGUGGAGCAAAUCCCAAAAAACCGGCCUCAGUUCAGAUUGCAGUCUGCAACUCGACUGCAUGAAGUCGGAAUCGCUAGUAAUCGUGGAUCAGCAUGCCACGGUGAAUACGUUCCCGGGUCUUGUACACACCGCCCGU
rnacentral:rRNA from 1 species